UCUUUACCCUUGUUUCUGUACUUUGUUUUCCAGCUUCUCUGCAAGGCUGCAAUGUUGCUUUGUCUUGAAUUCCAGAAGAUUAUUCAGGAUUCAGUUCAAACCAAGAUAGUACAAUCCCUCUUGUUGUUUUAUGAGUCAUGUCAGCUCCUCCAGCGCUCUCUAAGUCCAUGUCUUCUGCUGGGCAGCUCCCAUGUCAUUGUCAAAGGCAAAGUGAAGCCCUUAAUUCAGAUGUGGGGAGAUGGCAGCAUAAUUCUGGAUAAAAGAACUGCAGGCUUCUUUGGAGCAAUUAGCUAUUGAACUCGGCCAGCAAGUGGGCGAGAAAGAGCGCUUGUUAGCAGAAAACAAAGAGAAGACGGAGAGCCUGCAGAAAGCCAUGAGGAAGUCUGCGCGCCUUAAGAGGAUAAUGGACAAUUGCUGGAAUACGGUGAUGAGCCUAAGAAUGGAAAACGACCGCCUUCGAUGCUCACUGGUGUUAAUCACAGAGAAGGUACUUGAGACUUAUUCAACCCUUUGCUGCUGGAAAUUUAUUGACUCUUAAUGCAGGAGACUUUUGACGUUAUCUGGAAGGGCAACCCUGUGCCAACGGUUGCCUUCUAGAGACGAUGUGGGACUCCAGUCCUCAGCAGCUCCAUGAAUGAUAAGGAAAGACGGCCAAAGAACUUCAUCAACACCUGAAAAGGCCUCAGGUUCCCCAUGCCCUGAUUUCUUUAGAGCAGUGGUUACCCAACCUUGAGACCUCAGAUGUUCUCGGACUACAAAUCCCAGAAACCCUGCCCGGCACAGCUAAUGGUGAAGGCUUCUGGGAGUUUUAGUCCAAGGACCCAUGGAUUACCCAAGGUUGGGGACCACUGCUCUACAUCAAUGUUUUCCAGACAUUUGUCGUUUCGACAGGUGGCAUUAAGUCUCUCUCGAUAAAGGAACAACCUCAACAGGUCUUAUAAACUCAGCGUUUUGCCUUCCUUUGGCCCUGUUCAGUCUUUCUCCUUUCCCCGCUGCCUUCAACUUUUCUCUCCACUUUCUGCCCCAGCCGGGGACUCUUCUUCUUUCCCCCUUACGUUUCCAGAUAGCCUCCGUCUCGUCAUUUUCUGCCUCAUCAGAGAGUUGGAAAGAGUUCUAAUUCAUGAACAACAUGGAGGGAACCAACUUCAUGUGCUCAGGGUUAGUAUGUUUAGAAGAGAUUGCCAACAGUAAAGGAUGAUUAUAUACCUUGUGUUUUACCCAGGGCUAGAAAUCCUAUCUUUUGGGAUUGAAUUUCCACAGUACCCCAGUCAGAAUAUUUCCUUCCCUUUGCCCUUGUCUUGAUGGCAAAUCGGUGAGUUGUUAUCAGACUGAGAGAAAAUAUCUCCCAGUGAGUUCCUUGAUUCAAUGGGAAAUAAAAAGUUGAUCUCCUAAGUCCA
rnacentral:lncRNA from 1 species